rnacentral:rRNA from 1 species
UGCAGUUGAACGGUAACAGGAGGAAGCUUGCUUCCUUGCUGACGAGUAGCGGACGGGUGAGUAAAGCUUGGGAAUCUGUCUUAGGGAGGGGGAUAACCACGGGAAACUGUGGCUAAUACCGCGUAUAAUCGAGAGAUGAGAGGUGUGGGACCGUAAGGCCACAUGCCCUGAGGUGAGCCCAAGUGAGAUUAGGUAGUUGGUGGGGUAAAGGCCUACCAAGCCGACGAUCUCUAGCUGGUCUGAGAGGAUGACCAGCCACACUGGGACUGAGACGCGGCCCAGACUCCUACGGGAGGCACCCGUGGGGAAUAUUGCGCAAUGGGGGCAACCCUGACGCACCCAUGCCGCGUGAAUGAAGAAGGCCUUCGGGUUGUAAGGUUCUUUCAUUGGUGAGGAAGGUAAUAAUGUUAAUAGUAUUAUUAAUUGACGUUAGCCACAUAAGAAUCACCGGCUAAUUCCGUGCCAGCAGCCGCGGUAAUAC